ACAUCAUUUUGAUUCUAGGUCUGUACACGACACGGCAGUAACUCAGGUCCCUUGGCAUGCAGAUGGACACCAAUGCAUUCCAGCUUCACAGUUAGCUUUAGCCUGCAUUAGCACAGUAGCCUGUGUGUGCUAGCUUGUGCCUGGCAUGUGGUAGCGAAUGAGGUCAACCUUUUGACUGUCCCAGAUGGGAGUUUUACUAUGGUAUUUGAUAUUGUGACAGAAGCAUUUCCACUACCUCAGGGUCUUAGAUCACUACAAAGCCAGCCAAUCCGACAGACAACUGGUUUCAGUAAAGGCCUCGUUUACAAGACACUUUAUAUGAUCAGACUCCGAAGUUAGAGGAGAGGCAGAUUUGGAUACAAUGAACUUGUGUAUAAAAACAUUCUGGAUCUUAAUAACGAAGAGUUGAGCAAUAAUUAAAUCAGCCACAGCUGUAGGUGUCUUGCCAUUUGUAGUUACACAUUCAGAACAAGACCACAUGGAAUCGGGGCGAAAUUCGCCAAUUGGCUACCUCUCAACUUGUUAGAAUUGCUUUUGGCAAUCACACUGGCAAGAAAAUCACAAAUGGUCACCCCUGAUCUGAGGACAUAAACAAGUGUAGUUCAAUGAAUCCGUCAGGAGCUGCAGGUGAGUAUGGUGGUAGGGAGCACAAGAAGAGCCCACGCUAUUCAGAACAGACAAGGAUCACAGGCCUUUAGGAUUGAACAGGGUACACUGGCCGUUAGGAGAGGACAGACAGGGAUCACAGGCCGUUAGGAGAGGACAGACAGGGAUCACAGGCCGUUAGGAGAAGAGAGGAUACAUAGGCCUUUAGGAGAGGAAAGGGAUCACAGGCCUUUAGGAGAGGACAGACAGGGUUCACAGGUCUUUAGGAUCUAACAGGGUUCACAGGUCUUUAGGAUCUAACAGGGUUCACAGGUCUUUAGGGGUGGACAGGGUUCACAGGUCUUUAGGGGUGGACAGGGUUCACAGGUCUUUAGGAUCUAACAGGGUUCACAGGUCUUUAGGGGUGGACAGGGUUCACAGGUCUUUAGGAUCUAACAGUGUUCACAGGUCUUUAGGAUCUAACAGGGUUCACAGGUCUUUAGGGGUGGACAGGGUUCACAGGUCUUUAGGGGUGGACAGGGUUACUGCCGUGUCUCUGUGCUUCCUUUUAUUUUUCGUAAUCCGUUCCCUCAUCUUUGCUGCUAUGAAAACCUUCAUUCUCCUGCAGGUAAAGUGCUGUCACCUUUCUCUCUCCCUCCCUCUCUCUCUCUCUCUCUCUCUCUCUCUCUCUCUCUCUCUCUCUCUCUCUCUCUCUCUCUCGCUCUCUCC